GACAGGUUAAACUAAGGCAAACCCCCAAAUCUAAAGCAGGGACAGGGCCUGUCAGAUCUUCCCUACCAUGCAGGAUUUGGGGACCUGAGGCCUUCACAGGAGAAUGAGUGUCAAUAAUUUAAGGCAAAGAUUACUCCAGGGAUUCAGAUAGGGCAAGGCAGACUAAUGGAGAGAAGCACUGACUUACAAAGUUACAUGACUUGAGGUCCACAAAGUUUCCUGUGCCUUCAUUCCAAAGCCAAGAGGACUUUCCAAUUCACAGUGUGGGAUGCUGUCUGAAGCUGGGUUAAAGCCACACUUUCCUAGUCUCCAGCAAAAAGUCUCUGGGACUGACCUACACAUCUCUCAGGAACAGAUACGCUUCCUUUACUUGAUCAGACUCACUGGACAGUAACAGUGACAUGAAGUCCUCAUGCCUGUAUCUCAGAUUCUGGCAAUAACCCCUGCAGGUGGUGGUGCUGGCAGCAAUGAGGAUAAUAUUUGUCCCUCUCUUCUGUGUUGGAGCUCUGGUGGAUCCAAACAAUCCACCUAGUUACUUUUUCUCUAAAGCAAAACAAAACAAAACAAAACAAUACAAAACAAAACAA